rnacentral:rRNA from 1 species
GUUUGAUCAUGGCUCAGGAUGAACGCUAGCGGCAGGCUUAAUACAUGCAAGUCGAGGGGCAGCACAGGUAGCAAUACUGGGUGGCGACCGGCAAACGGGUGCGGAACACGUACGCAACCUUCCUUUAACUGGAGAAUAGCCCCUCGAAAGAGGGAUUAAUACUCCGUAACAUGUUGAUAAGGCAUCUUAUUAAUAUUAUAGCCUUCGGGCGGUUAAAGAUGGGCGUGCGCCUGAUUAGAUAGUUGGCGGGGUAACGGCCCACCAAGUCUGCGAUCAGUAACUGGUGUGAGAGCACGACCAGUCACGCGGGCACUGAGACACGGGCCCGACUCCUACGGGAGGCAGCAGUAAGGAAUAUUGGUCAAUGGACGCAAGUCUGAACCAGCCAUGCCGCGUGGAGGAUUAAGGCCCUCUGGGUUGUAAACUCCUUUUAUCUGGGAAGAAAUGCAUUUUUUCUAAAGUGCUUGACGGUACCAGAGGAAUAAGCACCGGCUAACUCCGUGCCAGCAGCCGCGGUAAUACGGAGGGUGCAAGCGUUAUCCGGAUUCACUGGGUUUAAAGGGUGCGUAGGCGGGCAGGUAAGUCCGUGGUGAAAUCUCUGAGCUUAACUCAGAAACUGCCAUGGAUACUAUUUGUCUUGAAUACUGUGGAGGUAAGCGGAAUAUGUCAUGUAGCGGUGAAAUGCUUAGAUAUGACAUGGAANCACCAAUUGCGAAGGCAGCUUACUACACAGUUAUUGACGCUGAGGCACGAAAGCGUGGG